AUUUAAAUAACUUAAAUGAAGAGUGUUAUAUUGAAGAUAUAAAAGUAGUAUUUUAUACUUUUAAAUA
rnacentral:tRNA from 1 species